rnacentral:rRNA from 1 species
GACGAACGCUGGCGGCGUGCUUAACACAUGCAAGUCGAACGAAGUGGCGAACGGGUGAGUAACGCGUAAUCAACCUGCCCUUCAGAGGGGGACAACAGUUGGAAACGACUGCUAAUACCGCAUACUGAAGGAGGGGCUUGCGUCUGAUUAGCUAGUUGGAUGGGUAACGGCCCACCAAGGCGAUGAUCAGUAACCGAUCUUACAGGAUGAACGGCCACAUGGGGACUGAGACACGUCCCAGACUCCGACCGUAGGCAGCAGUGGGGAAUCUGCCGCAAUGGACGAAAGUCUGACGGAGCAACGCCGCGUGAGGGAUGACGGCCUUCGGGUUGUAAAGCUCGGUUAAUCGGGACGCGGUACCGGAAUAGAAAGCCACGGCUAACUACGUGCCAGCAGCCGCGGUAAUUC